rnacentral:rRNA from 1 species
UUCCUAUUGAUGAACUCGAUGACAAA